CAAGUACUAAAUUUUUUACUUGAAUUAUUGACAUAAAAUAACUGCUUAUAAACCAAGAAGAAUUUUUUGCGUGGUAAAAAUCGCAUUAUUAAAAAUUUGUGUAAAGGGACAAAUUUU
rnacentral:ncRNA from 21 species